GACAGAGGAUGCAAGCGUUAUCCGGAAUGAUUGGGCGUAAAGCGUCUGUAGGUGGCUUUUUAAGUCUGCCGUCAAAUCCCAGGGCUUAACCCUGGACAGGCGGUGGAAACUACCAAGCUGGAGUACGGUAGGGGCAGAGGGAAUUUCCGGUGGAGCGGUGAAAUGCGUAGAGAUCGGAAAGAAACACCAACGGCGGAAAAGCACUCUGCUGGGCCGACACUGACACUGAGAGACGAAAGCUAGGGGAGCGAAUGGG
rnacentral:rRNA from 1 species